rnacentral:lncRNA from 1 species
GCGGACAUCCAAGAUACCAAUCGAUGAUGUUUUGACUGGAGUAUUUUUCAUCUCCUGUCCUAGCUCCCUUAUCAGGUGCCCUGUGUGACAGCGCGUCGAAAUAAUGAAAUCACGCCGGCCAUGAAAAUGCAACAACAAGUCAGUGCUCGGGAGACCUUGAUAUCAAGUGGUGACAGCCGCGUGUGUGUUUUUUUUGUGGUUAGGUUUUCGCGCCAAAGAUCCUGUGAUCCUUAAAUUUAGUCCAAAUUUUGUCGUAGUGAGUGCCCAUUCUCAAAACACCAGGAGCAAUUCGGAGCUGGCUACCUCUCGAGUUCAAAGUUUUAAGUAGCUGAUCAAUCAACUUCGAAAGUGGAGCUUUAAUGCCCCAGUUGGAGGAGGACACGCUUGACGAACUUUGGAUUUCUUCGGAAAUUAGAGUGACCCACGUUUACGUAUCAAAAUCUGACGGUGUUUACGGAAUCAUGGAUGAAAUCCAACCUGAACCAGAGCUGACAAUGGAUAUCGAUUCUGAGCCAGCUGAGUCUAUUGCGUCUACUUCGUUUGCAUCUACUUCAUUUGCGCCUACUUCGUUUGCAUCUACCUCAUUUGCGUCUACUUCGUUUGCACCUACCUCGGUAGCGUCUACUCCGACCGAGGUCAGUCAGCUUGGAGUUGAACACUGCUUCAGGCGGGUAUGAUAUUCGAAGCCAACAGAUCUGAAACACAGAGUAAUUGUGGUGCUUCAGUUCCACAUCUCUCAUUCGAUGUACUGUUUUAUACAGAAGACACCGUUUUAUGAGUGUGAAGUUUACGCGAAAUAAAUGUAUUUCACGCGUUCAGUGUGCACAUGUAUUAAUGCUGCAUGCUCGUAAAAAUUAAUUUAAAUAUUUAUAAAUGUUGUAUUUUUAGAAAAUUACUUUUCAGAAUGUUUCAUUUUUUUUUCUUUUUUUUUUUUAAAAAACACAUACCUAUUAUUUAGAUAGUUCGUCAAGUGUUAUAAAAUAAAUCAUUGUUCGAUUAAAAUGUUCUGCAUUCUUGUCAUUGGAAAG